rnacentral:tRNA from 1 species
GGCCUCGUGCCCUAAUGGAGAAGGCGUCUGACUUCGGAUCAGAAGAUUCCAGGUUCGAGUCCUGGCGGGGUCG